CUUCCCUAUAGAUAGAGUGAGAAAGAGAGAUGAGGAGAAUGAGAGAGUUGUUGUUUCUGUUGUUGUUCAUGAUGAUUUCAACAGAUGGAUUUUCAAUAGAGAUUUUUUCAAUAGAUAAAGAGAGAAAAGUAAAGUGAAAAGAGAAACAGAUAGAGAGAGAAAAGUUUGAAAAUGGUGUGAAUUUGAAUAGAUAGAAAAAAGAGGUUAUAAAAGUUAAUAGAUAAGUUAAAAAAUCAAUAGAUAGUCAAAAUUUUUGAAUAGAUAGAUAUAAAUUUGAAUAUAUAUUAAAAAAAAGUUAAUAGGUAAAAAAAAAUCAACAGAUAAAUUAAAGUGUAAAAUUGAAAACAAAAUGUACUCCCAAAAUAAUAAAAGGACUUUUCACCAAAUUACUUCAUAAAGUGUGAACCUCUCACUAACAAAAAAUAUUCAUUAGACCCAAUGCGUUAUAUCUUCUUUAGAUUGGAUUUAUCAACAAUUUUUCAAUUUCUACCUGUUCUCUUAUACAAUAAUAAAAUUAUCUGAAUUAUUAAUUGAAAUAAAAUUUUGAUAUCAUUAAAACCUAUUAAUUGAUUUGAUGAUUUAUUAAUAAAAUUUUUCAAUUGUUAUGAAAUUUGAAACGUCACGGGUAAGAUGUAAUUUUUAAAAUUGUAAGAGAUAAUUUGUAUUUUAAGUAAAUUUUAGGAAUGUAUUUAUAAUUUACUGUUUUAGACUUUAGACUAAAACAGUAAAUUGAAACUUCUAAGAGCAACUCCAAGGGAAGAGGUAAAAUGAGACUGUUAGCUAUUUUAGCUCGUAUGACCCUAAUAUUUUCACUCCAAUGGGCUGGCUAAAUGGCUUCCUAUUUUCCCUCGCGGCUUCUCCUCUGGCUUCAAUUGGAGAGUGAUUGAAGGCUCUCCAAACUCUUCUCUCCCGCGAAAUUGAUCUGCUCACGUCUCUCUCGCGAAAUCGAUAUGCUUCUUCAGCGCGAAAUCGAUCUCCAAACAUGUCUCUUUCGUGAAAACGAUCUGCUCCUUCAGUGCGAAAUCGAUCUUCUCCUUCAACGUUGUCUGCAACUCCCUCCAUCGACCUCUUCUUCAAGCCUUUUUCAGGCAUCGUCACUGUUGUUGCCACUAGAUUUGCCGUCUCCUCGUCUCCAUGGUCCCACCUGCUUCAGAUCUAGCUCCACGAUUUCUCCGCUUCUUUGCUCCACCAGAUCUGCCCCGGUCACUGGUGUUAUUGUCGUCUCUCUGCAGGUCUGAGGUCUGAAGGUAGCUUGGUUUGUUUUGUUUUUGGUGUUUGGUUGUGUGAUUGAGUUUUCAUCGAUAUUUAUUUGUUGCUUACCCAUCUCUAUGAAUGUAGCCUAUAAUUUUUUCUUCGACUCACCCUAUUGUCAAACUCUUAUAAUCGACUUUGCUUUAUAGUACGGGCUUAGUGUUGCAUUUUUCUCAUA